GAUGAACGCUAGCGGCAGGCUUAACACAUGCAAGUCGAGGGGUAGAAGGAGCUUGCUCCUUUGAGACCGGCGCACGGGUGCGUAACGCGUAUGCAAUCUACCUUUUGCAGAGGGAUAGCCCAGAGAAAUUUGGAUUAAUACCUCAUAGUAUGUGAGGAUGGCAUCAUUUUCACAUUAAAGUCACAACGGCAAAAGAUGAGCAUGCGUCCCAUUAGCUAGUUGGUAAGGUAACGGCUUACCAAGGCUACGAUGGGUAGGGUCCUGAGAGGGAGAUCCCCCACACUGGUACUGAGACACGGACCAGACUCCUACGGGAGGCAGCAGUGAGGAAUAUUGGACAAUGGGCGAAAGCCUGAUCCAGCCAUGCCGCGUGUGUGAAGAAGGUCUUCGGAUUGUAAAGCACUUUAAGUGGUAGGAAGGUAGUAACCUAAUACGUUGCUACUUGACUUACGACAGAAUAAGCACCGGCUAACUUCGUGCCAGCAGCCG
rnacentral:rRNA from 1 species